CCUGUGUAACCUCGCCCCUACGAGACCCUGUUAUAAUACUAGUUAAAGCAGAUUAUAAUCUUAAUUUGCCUUCUGUCUACUCGUAAAGGUUGUGAAAGUAACAGCUGCACCCAAGAAGAUUGGAUUAUGGAUAACCAGAUACCUGCACGUACAAGGGACUCGACAACUCUUCUCAAUAAACCCUCAGCCCUAGCAGGCUUCGGCCCUAAGGUUCCCCGCUGGGUUUGGUGACUCUCUUUGAGGAGCGCGUGGACUAACAGGACACGGGUACGUAAAAUUAUUUAAUGGGGUUAGAAAUUUACUU